GAUGAACGCUGGCGGCGUGCCUAAAACAUGCAAGUCAUACGGUCUACCUUCGGGUAGACAGUGGCAAACGGGUGAGUAACACGUGGGAACACGCCUUCGAGUGGGGAAUAACGCUGAGAAAUCAGUGCUAAUACCGCAUAUGGUCUAACGACUAAAGCAGCAGUGCGCUCGGAGAGUGGCCCGCGUCCGAUUAGCUAGUUGGUGGGGUAAUGGCCUACCAAGGCGGUGAUCGGUAGCUGGUCUGAGAGGAUGGUCAGCCACACUGGGACUGCGAACGGCCCAGACUCCUACGGGAGGCAGCAGUUAGGAAUUUUCGGCAAUGGACGAAAGUCUGACCGAGCGACGCCGCGUGGAGGACGAAGCCUUUCGGGUUGUAAACUUCUUUUAAGGGGGAGAGCAGAAGACGGUACCCCUUGAAUAAGCCACGGGCUAACUACGUGCCAGCAGCCGCCGUAAC
rnacentral:rRNA from 1 species